rnacentral:rRNA from 1 species
AGUGAACGCUGGCGGUAGGCCUAACACAUGCAAGUCGAACGGCAGCACAGUAAGAGCUUGCUCUUACGGGUGGCGAGUGGCGGACGGGUGAGGAAUACAUCGGAAUCUACUUUUUCGUGGGGGAAAACGUAGGGAAACUUACGCUAAUACCGCAUACGACCUACGGGUGAAAGCAGGGGAUCUUCGGACCUUGCGCGAUUGAAUGAGCCGAUGUCGGAUUAGCUAGUUGGCGGGGUAAAGGCCCACCAAGGCGACGAUCCGUAGCUGGUCUGAGAGGAUGAUCAGCCGCACUGGAACUGAGACACGGUCCAGACUCCUACGGGAGGCAGCAGUGGGGAAUAUUGGACAAUGGGCGCAAGCCUGAUCCAGCCAUACCGCGUGAGUGAAGAAGGCCUUCGGGUUGUAAAGCCCUUUUGUUGGGAAAGAAAAGCAGCAGGUUAAUACCCCGCUGUUCUGACGGUACCCAAAGAAUAAGCACCGGCUAACUUCGUG